GCGGGCGUGGCGGAAUUGGCAGACGCGUAGGCUUCAGGUGCCUAUGGGCUUCGGCUCGUGAAGGUUCAAGUCCUUUCGCCCGCA
rnacentral:tRNA from 1 species